rnacentral:lncRNA from 1 species
AUAUCCCCAAAAUAAAGCAUAUAUAGUACUGAUAAGAUCAUGAGUUAUAUACAGUAUAUCCAUUUACAAGCUGAUCGCUACUGAAAUUUGCAUGGAGUUAAAAGACAAAAAAAAAAAAAAACGUAAAAAUAGAGAUAACAACACAGUAAUGGGUUCUUUUUUCCUUACAUUCGAAUAAUAUUAGAUUAUGAGCUCUUAAUCAAAUGUAUAUCUCAAACGAAUCAAAAUCAUACAUUUUUCUACGUGCGGAAAAAAAGAGCGGAU